UGGGCGAGCUGGGUGAUCGCCUCGAGUUGUCUCGGGGAGGAAAGUCCGGGCUCCGCAGGGCAAGGUGGUUGCUAGCAGCAACUGUCCCAGAUUGGGGAUAAGGAAAGUGCCACAGAAAAGAAAACCCCGAGUGGGUGAAACGGCAGUCACAAUGCUGCCGUGUCACCACGGGAAAGCUGAAACGGUGGUGUAAGAGACCACCAGCUCCGUCGUGAGGCGGAGGCUUGGUAAACCCCACCUGGAGCAAGGCCGAAUAGGGGAGGGUUGAAGCUGCCCGCUGACCUCCCGGGUGUCGCCGCUAAAGCCGCGCGGCAACGCGCGUGCGCAGAUAGAUGAUCACCCUCGACAGAACCCGGCUUACAGGCUCGCCCGCGCU
rnacentral:RNase_P_RNA from 1 species